CUUGACUAGGAUUGAAGAGGAUAUGUCUUUCAAUCACAGCCAUUUAUAAUUGUUGCCGUACGGAUGGAAUGGGAUCCAACAACAGUUAGUAUAUACUAAUAGAUUCUGUCUGAUGAUGAUGUUGUGAAUCACCAAUGAUCCUGACCGGAAGACGGACUCUCCCCACUAAACGGUAGAGGAUCCCAGUCUAUACAAAAUAUAACAAUCAUACACACACAUAUAUAUACAUAUAUACAUAUAUAAUUAUAUAUAUAUAAUUUAUUCAAAAUUGAAGUUAGAUUUGUGAUCAGAGGCUCUGACUUUAGAUUGCUAGCGACUGAUGGUAGCCGUACUUUUGAUGUCACAGUUCCUAAUGCGAAGUUGAGGGCAGUUUAGAAGAGUAUUAUCUAUGCUAGAAUUAUUUUGGGA
rnacentral:lncRNA from 1 species